GGAGCUUGCUUUAUAUAACUUAGCAGCGAACGGGUGAGUAACACGUAGAUAAUCUAUCCUAUACUGGGGGAUAGCCCGAUGAAAGUUGGAUUAAUACCGCAUAUAGCUAUAUAGUUGCAUGAUUAUGUAGUGAAAGAUUUAUUGGUAUAGGAGGAGUCUGCGGCACAUUAGCUAGUAGGUGAGGUAAAGGCUUACCUAGGCGACGAUGUGUAGCCGGUCUGAGAGGAUGAACGGCCACAAUGGAACUGAGACACGGUCCAUACUCCUACGGGAGGCAGCAGUGGGGAAUAUUGCACAAUGGGGGAAACCCUGAUGCAGCAACGCCGCGUGAGUGAAGAAGGUUUUCGGAUUGUAAAGCUCUGUUAGCAGGGAAGAGGAAGGACGGUACCUGCAGAGGAAGCCACGGCUAACUACGUGCCAGCAGCCGCGGUAAUACGUAGGUGGCAAGCGUUGUUCGGAAUAACUGGGCGUAAAGGAUGCGUAGGCGGUUAAACAAGUUAUAUGUUAAAUAUAUAGGCUUAACCUGUAGAAAGCAUAUAAAACUGUUUAACUAGAGUGCAGGAGAGGUAAGUGGAAUUCCUAGUGUAGCGGUGAAAUGCGUAGAGAUUAGGAAGAACACCAGUGGCGAAGGCGACUUACUGGACUGUAACUGACGCUGAGGCAUGAGAGCAUGGGGAGCAAACAGGAUUAGAUACCCUGGUAGUCCAUGCUGUAAACGAUGGGUACUAGGUGUGGGUUGUGAAUAACAAUUCGUGCCGUCGCAAACGCAAUAAGUACCCCGCC
rnacentral:rRNA from 1 species